UCCGCAGCCGGGCCCCGAGCGAGCUCCGCGCCGCCGGCCGGGAGCCCGGGGCUCACGAGUUCAAAGGGCCGCGGCCCCGAGGGGAUGCCCUCCUCGCUGUGCCCCGGGGGGCAGAAGCGGACCGCAGGGCGGUGGGACCGGCCCGGGCCACGAUUAUUGAGCACCUAUCGUGUGUACACAUGGUGCUGGGUUCUGGGAUGCAAUAGUAAAACAGAAAUAGUCUCUGAACAGAGCAGGAAAACUGCAGUCACAGAGCAAUUGCAUGAAGUGCCUGAGAAGUCAUCGUCCAGGAAUUGGGAGCAUGGGUAAAGAGCCACCGUCCACGAUGUGAAGACUUCCUGUGGGGAGCCAUUUUUAAAUUGAUGCUCAAGGGAUGUGCAGAAGCGAGCCGGAAGAAAACAGAGUUUGGAAGAGAAAAGGUCAUCUGUGAAACAGACGGAGCGCGUGGCAGACAGGCUGAGGGAAGUCCAGGCGGGCAGGAGGGCUGGGGUGCUGCAGGGCAGGGAGGGCUGGGGGGCAGAGCUCCAGGGAAGAGUUCACUCCUGAGGAAGGACACCAGGGCUCAGGGGGCCAGCUGUUGCUUUGGAAACAAAGGAAAGACAGUACCUGGGAAGCUAUUUGGGGAAAAGGUGUUCUUUUCCCUAAAUCUCAUCAAGAUUAGUUUGAGUUCAAAUAAUUACAAUAGUCUUUUGAAGUAGCUUCAGAACUUAAGAAAAGAGGACAUUAGAGAUUCAAGAAUAUACCAAACAUUUAUAUCCAUGCAUCCCCCUCCCUAGAUAGGGACCACAAUAUGGGAUAUGGGCAGACUAGCUGGGUGUAAUGGACUUUACUCUCUCUGGAAACUAGCAGAGGUUCACUUGGUGCAGAGAUUUUUUUUUUUUCUUUAAAGGCACUCCUUUCAGCAUCAGGCCCAUACAGCUGAGAGAUACCACAGAAAACACCUUUCCAGAUAUAAAAGUAUCCAUAACUGGGGUAGUUGACUCAAAAUAACAAUGAUGACAACAACAGAGCAGUAAUGACCUAGAUUGAGCACUCACUAUGCAUCAGAGACUGUGCCAUGCACUGUGAUUUUCUGUGAUCCUUACAGCAGCUGGAGGAGGACUGAUGGGCUAAACAGACUAAAUGCUUGGCUGUAGGCAUCCCUGUGGAAGACUCCAGCAGACCCACAUGUCCUACGGUUCAACUUUUCAAACCUACCUCUUUGUAAUUCCUAAGUAGGAGUCUGAGCUCUGUUGUCAUAUUUCAGUUUUACAGUUUCUCUGAAAUAUUUUGAUCCAAAUAUGCCCUUAGAGUCAUGCUUUAUUAAUGCGAUAUGACUCAUAUUAGUGACUGCUUGUUCUUCAGCCAUAUGCCCUGAAUAAGUUAUCGGGUUUCAUUGUUUACCCUAAGUUUAAAAAAAAAUUCCAUGCUCUCCGACCUAAACCCUGCUCAUGCAGUUAAAACAAGAAAACUAGUUAUCUGAUAUCAUGAAGGCAAAUCAGCUUGUAGAAGUCCUCAGAUGUUUCCAUUUCCACUGGUGUGAGGGCAUUGUGGGAGCCAUGGAUUAUUCAUCAAGAAAGCAGAGGAGAGAAUUUCUCUUUUGUUUGUUUGUUGAUUUCCAAAGUAAACCCAAGUAUGAAGAGA